rnacentral:rRNA from 1 species
GCAACGAGCGCAACCCUUAUUGCUAGUUACCAUCAUUAAGUUGGGGGACUCUAGCGAGACUGCCAGUGAUAAACUGGAGGAAGGUGGGGGAUGACGUCAAAUCAUCAUGCCCCUUAUGACCUGGGCUACAAACGUGAUACAAUGGCUGAAACAAAGGGCAGCGAAGGAGCGAUCUGGAGCGAAACCCAAAAAGCAGUCUCAGUUCGGAUUGAAGUCUGCAACUCGACUUCAUGAAGUCGGAAUCGCUAGUAAUCGCGGAUCAGAACGCCGCGGUGAAUACGUUCUCGGGGUUU